AUUGAACGCUGGCGGCAGGCCUAACACAUGCAAGUCGAACGAGUGGCGGACGGGUGAGUAAUGUCUGGGAAACUGCCCGAUGGAGGGGGAUAAAUACUGGAAACGGUAGCUAAUACCGCAUACACUCGGAUGUGCCCAGAGGGGAUUGGCUAGUAGGUGGGGUAACGGCUCCCCUAGGCGACGAUCCCUAGCUGGUAUGAGAGGAUGACCAGCCACACUGGAACUGAGACACGGUCACGACUCCUACGGGAGGCAGCAGUGGGGAAUAGUGCACAAGGGGCGCAAGCCUGAUGCAGCCAUGCCGCGUGUAUGAAGAAGGCCUUCGGGUUGUAAAGUACUUUCAGCGAGGAGGCGUUACUCGCAGAAGAAGCACCGGCUAACUCCGUGCCAGCAGCCGCGGUAAUUC
rnacentral:rRNA from 1 species